AUAAAUGCAUUGAUGGGAAGAGUAAUAAAUGGACGCAUGCAAAGAGAGCUGAUGUAUGGUGAAAUUCAGUGGUGUAAAAGUUUAUGAACAUGGACCCGGAGCAGAAUAUCUGAAAUUUAGUAGGGUAUUACGUAAGCAUACGUUAAAAUGCAGGGUGAUAAAAUAAAUUAUGAAUUUAUGAGUCACUUAGUGAGAUUUUUGUCGUGAGAUAAAAAUAAAAUAGAGUGGUAACGCGUGAAUUCGCCUCUAAA
rnacentral:ncRNA from 1 species